rnacentral:lncRNA from 1 species
GAUCACCUUCUCGUUUUCCACAUGCUUACAGAUGGCCUCCAGGAUGAGCUGUUCCAUCAGCUUCCCAGGGACUGAUGUGAGAAUCUGUGCAUGAAGUUUGGGUUUUCUGUAUAAUUAAUAACUAAUAUUAAUAAUUAUAAUACGCAAGAAGGAAGUAAUGGGAACCUUUUUGUCCCUAUAGUAAAGACAGACGGUGUGGAGGAAGCUGUCUGCUGUGUUACUUAUUGACAAAUUAUGGUAGAGCUAUUCUGUCCUCCUAUAAAUUCAUUUCUUUUUCAUCCUUGUGUCUUUUUUUCCCAGGCAAGAAAAAAAAGGCUUUUUUUUUUUUUUUUUUAACCACUUCUGAUUAAUGCCCUUCUCAAUACCCUCCUACCCUCUUUGAGUUUUUCAUUUUAAUGGCACACAGCUCAGAUUUUCUUUUUCCUAGGGGAAAUAAGGCUACUCUUGGAAGCUACCUCCACACCAUUCGUGCAGAGUAUUUCCUAGGGUGAGUUAAGGGCAAAAUCUCCUCAACAUUAUUGCACCAGGAUUUUCAGGAUUAUGACCUGACCUUGAAAACCCUCCAGACGUGGGCAAUGUCUUCCCAGUGAAAUCAAGCCAACAUUAAUAAAACAUCCCUUCCAUACAUCUCCACUCCUCUCCUCCCACAUACUGUAUGCUUUCAUUACCAUCUCUGGGAAAAAACUGACAUUAAAGAAAAUUCAUCUGAUCUUAUCUGUAAUUAAUUUGUAUUUUGAUAAUAUAGAAGAAGAAUUUUUGCAUGUAAUGACUUACCUGUUCAUUAUUUCUCUCCUUUGAACUCCUGUGACCGCUUAAUAACUCAUGCCAAAGCAGAACUGAUUAUGACAUUUUCCCCACC